ACGGGAGGCAGCAGUGGGGAAUAUUGGGCAAUGGGCGAGAGCCUGACCCAGCAACGCCGCGUGAAGGAAGAAGGUCCUCGGAUUGUAAACUUCUUUUAUGAGGGACGAAGGACGUGACGGUACCUCAUGAAUAAGCCACGGCUAACUACGUGCCAGCAGCCGCGGUAAUACGUAGGUGGCAAGCGUUAUCCGGAUUUACUGGGUGUAAAGGGCGCGUAGGCGGGGAUGCAAGUCAGAUGUGAAAUCUAUGGGCUUAACCCGUAAACUGCAUUUGAAACUGUAUCUCUUGAGUGCUGGAGAGGUAGACGGAAUUCCUAGUGUAGCGGUGAAAUGCGUAGAUAUUAGGAAGAACACCAGUGGCGAAGGCGGUCUACUGGACAGUAACUGACGCUGAGGCGCGAAAGCGUGGGGAGCAACCAGGAUUAGAUACCCUGGUA
rnacentral:rRNA from 1 species